GUUGGAAAUAGAUUCCGGAAAUAGUAGGGUGGAACUUCCGGUGGUUCAGUCUACGCUGAUUGGUUGAGUUUGUCCGCGAGGCGGCUGAGCGGCGCGAGUUUGAAACUAGUGGAGAAGUUAACAAGGAGACUGAGUUGAGAAAAUCAAACGAUGACAAUUUACAUGAAGCCAGAAUGAACUGAAUAUAUGAUGAUUGAUGCUGCAGCCUGAUGAUGAUUGAUGCUGCAGCCUGAUGAUGAUUGAUGCUGCAGGCCUGAUGAUGAUUCAGCCAAAGAUGGACUGCGGUGUUUCAUAACUAACGGUCCCACAAUGCAACAAUGUUUUUCCUUUUGUUUUCACACGUACCUUUUGGAUUUUCUCAGCGCUAAUUUUUUUCAGGACCGUUGUAUUUCUCGUUACCUGACACACCGUGGGACGUCACUAAAGAGUAGCGGUGUCCCGUUGUGUUCUCGUUACCUGACAGACAGGACGUCACUGAAGAGUAGCGGUGUCCCGUUGUGUUCUCGUUACCUGACGUCACUGAAGAGUAGCGGUGUCCCGUUGUAUUCUCGUUACCUGACAGACAGGACGUCACUGAAGAGUAGCGGUGUCCCGUUGUGUUCUCCUUACCUGACAGACAGGACGUCACUGAAGAGUAGCGGUGUCCCAUUGUGUUCUCGUUACCUGACAGACAGGACGUCACUGAAGAGUAGCGGUGUCCCGUUGUAUUCUCGUUACCUGACAGACAGGACGUCACUGAAGAGUAGCGGUGUCCCGUUGUGUUCUCGUUACCUGACAGACCGUGGGACGUCACUGAAGAGUAGCGGUGUCCCGUUGUGUUCUCGUUACCUGACAGACAGGACGUCACUGAAGAGUAGCGGUGUCCCGUUGUGUUCUCGUUACCUGACAGACAGGACGUCACUGAAGAGUAGCGGUGUCCCGUUGUGUUCUCGUUACCUGACGUCACUGAAGAGUAGCGGUGUCCCGUUGUGUUCUCGUUACCUGACAGACAGGACGUCACUGAAGAGUAGCGGUGUCCCGUUGUGUUCUCGUUACCUGACAGACAGGACGUCACUGAAGAGUAGCGGUGUCCCGUUGUGUUCUCGUUACCUGACAGACCGUGGGACGUCACUGAAGAGUAGCGGUGUCCCGUUGUGUUCUCGUUACCUGACAGGACGUCACUGAAGAGUAGCGGUGUCCCGUUGUAUUCUCGUUACCUGACAGACAGGACGUCACUGAAGAGUAGCGGUGUCCCGUUGUAUUUCUCGUUACCUGACAGACAGGACGUCACUGAAGAGUAGCGGUGUCCCGUUGUGUUCUCGUUACCUGACAGACAGGACGUCACUGAAGAGUAGCGGUGUCCCGUUGUAUUCUCGUUACCAGAGAGGACGUCACUGAAGAGUAGCGGUGUCCCGUUGUGUUCUCGUUACCUGACAGACAGGACGUCACUGAAGAGUAGCGGUGUCCCGUUGUGUUCUCAUUACCUGACAGACAGGACGUCACUGAAGAGUAGCGGUGUCCCGUUGUGUUCUCGUUACCUGACAGACAUGACGUCACUGAAGAGUAGCAGUGUCCCGUUGUGUUCUCGUUACCUGACAGGACGUCACUGAAGAGUAGCGGUGUCCCGUUGUGUUCUCGUUACCUGACAGGACGUCACUGAAGAGUAGCGGUGUCCCGUUGUGUUCUCGUUACCUGACAGACCGUGGGACGUCACUGAAGAGUAGCGGUGUCCCGUUGUGUUCUCGUUACCUGACAGACAGGACGUCACUGAAGAGUAGCGGUGUCCCGUUGUGUUCUCGUUACCUGACAGACAGGACGUCACUGAAGAGUAGCGGUGUCCCGUUGUGUUCUCGUUACCUGACAGACAGGACGUCACUGAAGAGUAGCGGUGUCCCGUUGUGUUCUCGUUACCUGACAGGACGUCACUGAAGAGUAGCAGUGUCCCAUUUUGUAUUCUCUGCUCGACAAUGUCUGGAUACGAUUUGUCUUUUGUUGUGGUAUUAUUUAGUUCAAGCCUUCAUGUUCAGUUGGUAUUAUAUUUACGUAUUUCUCAGUAAAGGUUUAAAUCUCU